CCUACGGGUGGCAGCAGUGGGGAAUAUUGCACAAUGGGCGAGAGUCUGAUGCAGCCAAGUCGCGUGAAUGAAGAAUGCCCUCUGGGUUGAAAACUUUUUUUAUAAAGGAGUAAAACGAGGCACGUGUGCCUUUUUGCAUGUACUUUAUGAAUAAGGAACGGCUCACUCAGUGCCAGCAGACGCGGUACUGCGGUGGAUACGAGCGUUUCCCGGAUUUAGUGGGUUUAACGGGAACGUAGAUGGGUUGUUAAGUCAGAUGUGAAAGUUUUCGGCUCAACCGUAAAAUUGCAAUUGAUACUGGCAGACUUGAGUACAGUUGAGGGAGGCGGAAUUCGAGGUGUAGCGGUGAAAUGCUUAGAUAUCACGAAGAACCCCGAUUGCGAAGGCGGCUUACUAAACUGUGACUGACAUUGAGGCUCGAAAGUGUGGGUAGCAAACAGGAUUAGAUACCCCGGUAGUC
rnacentral:rRNA from 1 species